GCCCGCCUAGCUCAAUCGGCCAGAGCGUCAGACUUUUAAGAAAAUGUCUUCAUAAUUAUCUGAAGGCUGCGAGUUCGACCCUCGCGGUGGGCU